GUUUUAUACUUCAAUUUUUAGAAGAAAUGGUUUGCAACUAUUCAGUGGAUAUUUAUUCCUUUAACCA
rnacentral:tRNA from 1 species